GGUUGAGCCCCAUCAGGCUGUUUCAUCUCCAGCCUUUCUCCCUGGACAGGGGUAGGGAAAGGAGUGCUGGAUUCGGAGCUCCUCCGUCCCUGCGCCGCCUCAUUUUCUCCUUGGGGUCUGGCGCACAGUGGCCAUUGCAAUACACCCUAAAGACUGAAGGAGCCAGCGCAGAGCCAGGAUCCUCCUGUGAGCCAUGGCCCUGGCUGCCCUGCUUAGCCUCUCGGAACCUGGGCCAUCAGGGGUGGUGUCAGAAGUGGGGUUGGAAGUAGAGCUUCUAAUGACCCCCAGAAGUGCUGAGUGACCUAGCGAGGUACCCUCCAGGCCCAUUGUGUCUCUUUCUCUCUCGGAGCAGCUGGGGAUCGUGUGUAUUUUCACCAGGUAAAGAAAGCUUUUUAUGGUUCACUGACUGAGGACAAUCAACCCCUUCACAAUCUAGAACCUGAAGAUUGGAUCUUCUGAGAACAUCAGAGAAAGACUGCCCUUGCCAUCCACACUGCAGUAAACAUCAGAACCGUGAACUUUGGCUUCAUGAUCUCACAACUGAGAAGGAUCCCUCCACAUUCUUGGAAAUAUACACCCAUUGGAACCCGUAAGCAGACCAUGUGUCAACGUAUGCAGAGUUUGUGCAGACACACAGACCCUCUGGGGAGUAUAUGUUUGAAUCUGAUGAAGAUGAGCAGUUAUUUGUGCACCUGGACAAGAAGGAGAUGGUCUGGCAUCUGUGAGAGUUUAUUCACACUGUGUCAAACUUUCUCAGUCAGAAGUUGACAUAAGGAAGUCACCAGCUUCGGUCUCCUUUAAAUCUCCAGGCCUAACUUUCUUUUGAAUCUCUGCUCUUCAACCACAAUGACUUAUGUACCCCAAGACCCCUCUACCUCCUGGCUGCCUAUGAUCCUCCUGCACCUAGCACUCAGCAAAGGGUCUGACAUUUAGAUAGCACUCAAUCAAUAUGAAGAAUUUAAAGUGUAGUGACAAGGUGGUGCCCACACUGGAUGGUCUGUAUGCUGUGGUCUCAUCAGGGACCUUUCUCUGCACUGCAUUUUUCCUGAGAAAUCCCAGAGUUCAAUAAAUACCUGUGUAUGUCAGAGCUAGACACAUCUGAUGCCUUUCUGUGACUCCUUAUAUUCUCAGUUUCCUAGGAAUGCAUAUCCUGGACUUGUAAUUGUAGGAUACAGGUGCAUUAUGGGUGCAGAUACCUCAGUUUUGCAUCCUGCAAGAGUUAGUCUGCAGAUUGUUCACUCCACUCUGGGUACGGCUGACACCUACAGCAUGCGUCCAGGGGACAAAAAUGGAAGGAGAUGACUCUGAUUGGAUAGUGAGAGGAACACGGGUAGCUCUGGUAAACUGACCAGGGAUAGGCGCCCAGGGGCACACAAGGCCCAGAAGCUGCUUGUGAGAAGUCAGGGAGAAGGAAGCCAACAACUGGAUGUAUCAGAGAGCCACUGAGUGCUCAUUAUGUGUAUCAGGAGUUAAGAAUCCAUCCUCUACACGAAAAGGAAAGCUUAGACCAAACAUGUCUUCUACCUUGAUUUACAGUAACUUAAUAUGAAAUGCAAAACACAUAAAAAUUUUGGAUUGUAAAAAAAAGAUCAGUGUUUGAAAGAGUGCCACACCUAUUGCUUUGCACUUUCAACAAUGGGGAGGCGUUUCUCACUGUAUGAAUUAUUAGCUCAGGAGGUCUAGGCUGGUGAAUGAAUGCAGACUUAGAGGAUAAAUGUCGUCUACUUGAUGCAUUCAAAAGGCCAAGCAACAUUUGGUUAAGGAGUAUUUGUGAUGGCAUGCAAAGAAAGUGUUGAAAGUGUGUUAGAUUAUAUUUAUCGUUUUAAAUUCUGAUGCUUAUUUAAUUUCUUAACAGUAAUGCUAAAACAUGCUCUUAGUAAGUUAUAUGUUGAAUCAGUGCUAUGUUAAUAUGGGCCCUAUAACACAGAUUUGCAGU